GACGUAGGGCGCGAGCGUUGUCCGGAAUUAUUGGGCGUAAAGAGCUCGUAGGCGGUCUGUCGCGUCUGCUGUGAAAACUCAGGGCUUAACCCUGAGCUUGCAGUGGGUACGGGCAGACUAGAGUGCGGUAGGGGAGACUGGAAUUCCUGGUGUAGCGGUGAAAUGCGCAGAUAUCAGGAGGAACACCGGUGGCGAAGGCGGGUCUCUGGGCCGAUACUGACGCUGAGGAGCGAAAGCGUGGGGAGCGAACAGG
rnacentral:rRNA from 1 species